GAUGAACGCUGGCGGCGUGCCUAAUACAUGCAAGUCGAGCGAACAGACGAGGAGCUUGCUCCUUCGACGUUAGCGGCGGACGGGUGAGUAACACGUAGGUAACCUACCUAUAAGACUGGGACAACUUCGGGAAACCGGAGCUAAUACCGGAUAAUAUUUCGAACCGCAUGGUUCGAUAGUGAAAGAUGGCUUUGCUAUCACUUAUAGAUGGACCUGCGCCGUAUUAGCUAGUUGGUAAGGUAACGGCUUACCAAGGCAACGAUACGUAGCCGACCUGAGAGGGUGAUCGGCCACACUGGAACUGAGACACGGUCCAGACUCCUACGGGAGGCAGCAGUAGGGAAUCUUCCGCAAUGGGCGAAAGCCUGACGGAGCAACGCCGCGUGAGUGAUGAAGGUCUUCGGAUCGUAAAACUCUGUUAUUAGGGAAGAACAAACGUGUAAGUAACUGUGCACGUCUUGACGGUACCUAAUCAGAAAGCCACGGCUAACUACGUG
rnacentral:rRNA from 1 species